rnacentral:rRNA from 1 species
GUGGCGGACGGGUGAGUAACACGUAGGUAACCAACCCUCAAGCGGGGGACAACAUCGGGAAACCGGUGCUAAUACCGCAUAAGCUCACGGACUGGGAUGUUUGUGAGAAAAGGAGCAAUUCACUUGAGGAUGGGCCUGCGGCCUAUCAGGUAGUUGGUAAGGUAAUGGCUUACCAAGCCUAAGACGGGUAGCCGGACUGAGAGGUUGAACGGCCACACUGGAACUGAGACACGGUCCAGACUCCUACGGGAGGCAGCAGUGGGGAAUUUUGCGCAAUGGGGGAAACCCUGACGCAGCGACGCCGCGUGGAGGAUGAAGGUCUUCGGAUUGUAAACUCCUUUUGUCGGGGAAGAUAAUGACGGUACCCGAUGAAUAAGCCACGGCUAACUCUGUGCCAGCAGCCGCGGUAAGACAGAGGUGGCAAGCGUUGUUCGGAAUUACUGGGCUUAAAGGGCGCGUAGGCGGUGGAGUAAGUCUGAGGUGGAAGAUUAGG